CCGCGAAUAGCUCAUUACAAUAGCCGUUGUUUCUUGGAUCCUCAAUUUACUUGGAUACCUGUGGUAAUUCUAGAGCUAAUACAUGCGACUAAGGGCCGAACUCACGUGACGCUUGCAUUUAUUAGAUCAAGACUAACCGGCUUCGGCCGUUAACUUGGUGACUCUGAAUAACUCAGCUGAUCGCACGGUCUAGUGCCGGCGACAUAUCUUUCAAGUGUCUACCUUAUCAACUGUCGAUGGUAGUUUAUGUGACUACCAUGGUUGUAACGGGUAACGGAGAAUCAGGGUUUGACUCCGGAGAGGGAGCCUGAGAAACGGCUACCACUUCUAAGGAAGGCAGCAGGCGCGCAAAUUACACAAUCUCAGCACGAGGAUGUAGUGACGAAACAUACCGAGGCGAUGCCCUUUCGGGUGUCGUCAUUGGAAUGAGUCGAAUCUAAAAAAUUCGGCAAGGAUCUAGUGGAGGGCAAGUCUGGUGCCAGCAGCCGCGGUAAUUCCAGCUCCGCAAGUGUAUAUCUAUGCUGUUGCGGUUAAAAAGCUCGUAGUUUGAUUCGCGUACUUAGCACGCAGUGUGGCCUUUCGGCUACUACUGUGAUGCGGUACAUUAUCGUCAGUUUGUCGUUGAUGCUCUUCAUUGGGUGUCAGCGGCGGCUGUCAAGUUUACUUUGAACAAAUUAAAGUGCUCAAUACAGGCGUUUCGCUUGUAUAGUUCUGCAUGGAAUAAUAGAAUAGGACUUACGUUCUAUUGUGUUGGUUUUCAGAACGAAAGUAAUGAUUAAGAGGGACAGACGGGGUCAUUCGUACUGCCACGUUAGAGGUGAAAUUCUUGGAUCGUGGCAAGACGAACUACUGCGAAAGCAUUUGACAAGAAUGUUUUCAUUAAUCAAGAACGAAAGUAUGGU
rnacentral:rRNA from 1 species